CCUACGGGUGGCAGCAGUGAGGAAUAUUGGUCAAUGGGCGAGAGCCUGAACCAGCCAAGUCGCGUGAAGGAUGACGGCCCUACGGGUUGUAAACUUCUUUUGUCAGGGAGCAAUUGGGUCCACGCUUGGGCUUAGCGAGAGUACCUGAAGAAAAAGCAUCGGCUAACUCCGCGCCAGCAGCCGCGGUAAUACGGAGGAUGCGAGCGUUAUCCGGAUUUAUUGGGUUUAAAGGGUGCGUAGGCGGAAUAUCAAGUCAGCGGUAAAAAUUCGGGGCUCAACCCCGGCGAGCCGUUGAAACUGGUGUUCUUGAGUGUGCGAGAGGUAUGCGGAAUGCGUGGUGUAGCGGUGAAAUGCAUAGAUAUCACGCAGAACUCCGAUUGCGAAGGCAGUAUACCGGCGUACAACUGACGCUGAGGCACGAAAGCGUGGGUAUCGAACAGGAUUAGAUACCCUUGUAGUC
rnacentral:rRNA from 1 species